rnacentral:rRNA from 1 species
CGGACGGAGUACAAGAUGCUGCAUGGUUGUCGUCAGCUCGUGCCGUGAGGUGUUGGGUUAAGUCCCUCAACGAGCGCAACCCUCAUUGUUAGUUGCCAACGAAUAAUGUCGGGGACUCUAGCAAGACUGCCGACGUAAGUCGAGAGGAAGGUGGGGACGACGUCAAAUCAUCACGGCUCUUAUACCUUGGGCUACACACGUGCUACAAUGGUCGGUACAAAGGGUUGCUA